ACUCAAAGGAAUAGACGGGGGCCCGCACAAGCGGAGGAACAUGUGGUUUAAUUCGAUGAUACGCGAGGAACCUUACCCGGGCUAGAACGCAGAAGGAAUAUACGGGAAACUUUAUAGCCAGCAAUGGUCUUUUGCGAGGUGCUGCAUGGUUGUCGUCAGCUCGUGCCGUGAGGUGUCGGCUUAAGUGCCAUAACGAGCGCAACCCUUAUUGUUAGUUGCCAUCGGGUCAUGCCGGGGACUCUAGCAAAACUGCCUGCGUAAGCUGUGAGGAAGGUGGGGAUGACGUCAAAUCAGCACGGCCCUUACGUCCGGGGCGACACACGUGUUACAAUGGGAGGUACAGAAGGUUGCUACCACGCGAGUGGAUGCCAAUCCCCAAAUCCUCUCUCAGUUCGGAUCGAAGUCUGCAACUCGACUUCGUGAAGCCGGAUUCGCUAGUAAUCGCGCAUCAGCCAUGGCGCGGUGAAUACGUUCCCGGGCCUUGUACACACCGCCCGU
rnacentral:rRNA from 1 species